AUUGAACGCUAGCGGCAUGCUUAACACAUGCAAGUCGAACGGCAGCACGAGGAGCUUGCUCCUUGGUGGCGAGUGGCGGACGGGGUGAGUAACGCGUAGGAAUCUACCUUAUAGUGGGGGACAACCCGGGGAAACUCGGCGUAAUACCGCAUAAUCUUUACGAAGCAAAGACAGGGGACCUUCGGGCCUUGCGCUAUAAGAUGAGCCUGCGUCGGAUUAGCUAGUUGGUGGGGUAAAGGCCUACCAAGGCGACGAUCCGUAGCUGGUCUGAGAGGACGACCAGCCACACUGGGACUGAGACACGGCCCAGACUCCUACGGGAGGCAGCAGUGGGGAAUAUUGGGACAAAUGGGCGAAAAGCCUGAUCCAGCAAUGCCGCGUGUGUGAAGAAGGCCUCGGUUGUAA
rnacentral:rRNA from 1 species